rnacentral:rRNA from 2 species
UUUAUAUGAGAGUUUGAUCCUGGCUCAGGAUGAACGCCGGCGGUGUGCCUAAUACAUGCAAGUCGUACGCACUGGCCCAACUGAUUGAUGGUGCUUGCACCUGAUUGACAUUGGAUCACCAGUGAGUGGCGGACGGGUGAGUAACACGUAGGUAACCUGCCCCGGAGCGGGGGAUAACAUUUGGAAACAGAUGCUAAUACCGCAUAACAACAAAAGCCACAUGGCUUUUGUUUGAAAGAUGGCUUUGGCUAUCACUCUGGGAUGGACCUGCGGUGCAUUAGCUAGUUGGUAAGGUAACGGCUUACCAAGGCGAUGAUGCAUAGCCGAGUUGAGAGACUGAUCGGCCACAAUGGAACUGAGACACGGUCCAUACUCCUACGGGAGGCAGCAGUAGGGAAUCUUCCACAAUGGGCGCAAGCCUGAUGGAGCAACACCGCGUGAGUGAAGAAGGGUUUCGGCUCGUAAAGCUCUGUUGUUGGAGAAGAACGUGCGUGAGAGUAACUGUUCACGCAGUGACGGUAUCCAACCAGAAAGUCACGGCUAACUACGUGCCAGCAGCCGCGGUAAUACGUAGGUGGCAAGCGUUAUCCGGAUUUAUUGGGCGUAAAGCGAGCGCAGGCGGUUGCUUAGGUCUGAUGUGAAAGCCUUCGGCUUAACCGAAGAAGUGCAUCGGAAACCGGGCGACUUGAGUGCAGAAGAGGACAGUGGAACUCCAUGUGUAGCGGUGGAAUGCGUAGAUAUAUGGAAGAACACCAGUGGCGAAGGCGGCUGUCUGGUCUGCAACUGACGCUGAGGCUCGAAAGCAUGGGUAGCGAACAGGAUUAGAUACCCUGGUAGUCCAUGCCGUAAACGAUGAGUGCUAGGUGUUGGAGGGUUUCCGCCCUUCAGUGCCGGAGCUAACGCAUUAAGCACUCCGCCUGGGGAGUACGACCGCAAGGUUGAAACUCAAAGGAAUUGACGGGGGCCCGCACAAGCGGUGGAGCAUGUGGUUUAAUUCGAAGCUACGCGAAGAACCUUACCAGGUCUUGACAUCUUGCGYUAACCUUAGAGAUAAGGCGUUCCCUUCGGGGACGCAAUGACAGGUGGUGCAUGGUCGUCGUCAGCUCGUGUCGUGAGAUGUUGGGUUAAGUCCCGCAACGAGCGCAACCCUUGUUACUAGUUGCCAGCAUUAAGUUGGGCACUCUAGWGAGACUGCCGGUGACAAACCGGAGGAAGGUGGGGACGACGUCAGAUCAUCAUGCCCCUUAUGACCUGGGCUACACACGUGCUACAAUGGACG